GCGGGUGUCAGCCGGGCCUCGCCCACCACCCUGCAAAGGGGACUGGGCGUGGCCGGAGGGGGGUGUCCGGGAGGCCGCCGCGCCUUUAGUUUCGGGGAUGGGGAGCGGCAGGCCCGGGCGGGGUCAGCAGUCCUCGCCUGCGUCUCCGCUAGAGAUGUGGCUUAGGGGCGGAGGCGGGGCGAGGUGGGGUGGGGUUGGUGUUGCAGCCGCGUGAGUGGGCCCUGUCCUCUCUCCCCAGCUCCUGCCCCGGAGCCUGGCCCUGGCGAGGCAGGAAUGGCCCCGAGGCCUCCGACGGCCGCGCCCCAGGAAUCAGUGACAUUCAAAGAUGUGUCUGUGGACUUCACCCAGGAAGAAUGGUACCACGUCGACCCUGCUCAGAGGAGCUUAUACAGGGAUGUGAUGCUGGAGAACUAUAGCCACCUGGUUUCUCUUGAGUUCCUGAGGAUCAAGGACUAGUACUGACUUGUCCUUAGGAGGGUUCUUUGUCCACUUGCACAAACAACCAAAUCUUGUGUAUUUACCCAUGAGCAGGAUAUCAAGUUUCCAAGCCAGAGGUGAUCUUCAAAUUGGAGCAAGGAGAAGAGCCAUGGAUAUCAGAGGGAGAAAUCCAAAGACCUUUCUGUCCAGACUGGAAGACCAGGCCUGAAUUCAAAUCAUCACAUCUGCAGCAGGAUGUAUCCAAAGUAUCCCACUGCACAGAUGAUCUCUCACGUGCUGCAUUAGAAGACUCCUGGGAUGUUAGCAGCCAGUUAGACAGGCAACAAGAAAACUGGAAGAGACAUCUGGGAUCAGAGGCAUCCACCCAGAAGAAAAUAGUCACACCACAAGAAAGUUUUGAGCAAAAUAAAUGUGGUGAAAACUCUAGAUUGAACACCAAUUUGGUUACACAACUGAACAUUCCUGCAAGAAUAAGGCCUAGUGAAUGUGAGACCCUUGGAAGCAAUUUGGGACAAAAUGCAGACUUACUUAAUCAGAAUAAUAUUCCUGCAAAAAAGAAACCCUAUAAGUGUGAUAAAUGUAGAAAAGCCUUUAUUCAUAGAUCAUCACUUACUAAACAUGAGAAAACUCAUAAAGGAGAGGGAGCUUUCCCUAAUGGAACAGAUCAGGGAAUUUUUCCUGGAAAGAAACACCACGAAUGUACUGACUGUGGGAAAACCUUUCUCUGGAAGACACAGCUUACUGAACAUCAGAGAAUUCACACUGGGGAGAAGCCAUUUGAAUGCAAUGUGUGUGGAAAGGCCUUCAGGCAUAGCUCAUCUCUUGGUCAGCAUGAGAAUGCUCAUACCGGAGAGAAACCCUAUCAGUGUAGUCUCUGUGGGAAAGCCUUCCAGCGCAGCUCCUCCCUUGUUCAACACCAGCGAAUUCACACUGGAGAGAAACCCUAUCGAUGUAAUCUAUGUGGAAGGUCCUUUAGGCAUGGCACAUCCCUCACUCAACAUGAGGUCACACAUAGUGGAGAGAAGCCCUUCCAGUGUAAGGAAUGUGGGAAAGCCUUUAGUCGAUGUUCUUCCCUUGUCCAACAUGAGAGGACUCAUACUGGAGAGAAACCUUUUGAAUGUAGCAUAUGCGGGAGGGCUUUUGGUCAGAGCCCAUCCCUUUAUAAACAUAUGAGGAUUCAUAAGAGAGGCAAACCUUACCAAAGCAAUAACUACAGCAUAGAUUUCAAGCACAACUCAUCUCUCACUCAAGAUGAAAGCACUCUUACUGAAGUGAAAUCCUACCAUUGUGAUGACUGUGGGGAAGACUUUAGUCACAUUACAGACUUUACUGACCAUCAGAGGAUCCAUACUGGAGAGAAUCCCUAUGAUUGUGACCAGGUUUUUAAUCAGCAAGCUAUUUCUCAUCCUGGAGAGAAACCCUAUCAGUGUAAUGUAUGUGGAAAAGCUUUCAAAAGGAGUACAAGUUUCAUAGAACAUCACAGAAUUCAUACUGGAGAGAAACCCUAUGAAUGUAAUGAGUGUGGAGAAGCCUUUAGUCGACGCUCAUCACUUACUCAACAUGAGAGAACCCACACUGGAGAGAAACCCUAUGAAUGUAUUGACUGUGGGAAAGCCUUUAGUCAAAGUUCAUCCCUCAUUCAGCAUGAGAGAACUCAUACCGGAGAGAAGCCCUAUGAAUGUAAUGAAUGUGGGAGAGCUUUCCGAAAGAAAACCAACCUGCAUGAUCAUCAGAGAAUUCAUACUGGAGAAAAACCCUAUUCUUGUAAGGAAUGUGGGAAAAACUUCAGCCGAAGUUCAGCUCUUACUAAACACCAGAGAAUUCACACUCGAAAUAAACUCUAGGAACCUUGAAGUUAAGGAAUUUUCAGAAUGCUUUAGCUAACGUGUUGUUCUGAUUCAGGAUCAGAGGAUUCUUAAAGAGAGAGAGCUUUGGAAUGUAAUGAAUUAUGUGUGUGUUUGUAUGUUGUAUGUGGAGAAAACUGCCAGUAGACAGAUUUUUUUUUAUAUAAAUAAAAGCUCAGAUCUGAUAACAGACUGGUGUGAAAACAUCUACAUAUAUGUAGCUGGUUGGAAAUUAAAUGUCUAUAUAUUGGACUUUAUAAAGCUUUUGAAUAUAUGUAUGCAGGAGAUCAUCAAGUUUCAGCAUCUUGACUUAUAACCCCCAAUGUUAACAGCUUUAAAAAAAAAUAAAUUCCUGCAGUAAUGACCAAAAAUCAUUUUAAAAAUUGCUUGACAACUGCACCCAACUGCAGCUCUUACAUUAACUUCGCCGUGGAAACCCGUUCCACCUCCAGGAAGUCACCAUUCAAAGAAUUAGAUCAGCUAGCCGAACCACUUCAUUGUACAGAUGAAGAGACUGAAAGCCAAAGAUGUGAAGUGGUUUCCACAGUAUGAUACAGCCUAUAGGGGUAAAGCUGGGUUAAGAAUACAGGUUUCCUGGAUUUGCGGCCCUAUAGCUUUGUCAGAGAAAAGGUAUUUUAGAACUCAGAGGGCUUUAAAAUAAAUUUUAAGAUAUAUCAGAUACCCAAACAUUUAAUGAGCACCUAUGGGUUGGACGCUUUGGGAAUUCCUAAAAGCAUAAGUGGCAGCAAGAUGUAUGCAAAUUUAUCACAAACUGUUUAAAGCAACUUCUUGGAGGCUUACAAAACACAAUUUAACAGAAACUGUAGAUGGUUGAACUACUAGUGACUUUUUUUUCCUUUUCCCAGUUACACUUAUUAUACUUUCAGCUAAUAAUAUGCCAGUUUCACAGAACUAUUAAGUCCUCUUAUUGUGCUUUUUAUGGCAUGCCCAUGAAAAAGCACUAGCUUAAGCCUACAAUAUCAGAUCAAUGGCAAAACAGCGUAAAACUAAGAGGAGAAUUUUCCCCUGUUAAUUUUAUUGUGGAAAAGUCUAAGUCUAAUUGCCCAUUGCCAUAAAUUUUGUCUUUUACUCAGUUUAGAGUAACACCAUAUACUGACUCAUUUUGUGUGCAAAGAAAAUAUUUCACCAUUAAAAAAAUUAACUUGGCUAGGUAUGGUGGCUCACACAUGUAAUCCUAGCAUUUUGGGUGACUAAGGCACGCAGACUGAGCCCAGGGGUCCAAGACCAGCCUGGACAACAUGGUGAAACCCUACCUCUU